AUGGAUACUGUCUCACUACAAGUGUUGUCAACCUUUGUUGUCCAAUUGAUCAGGUUAUCUAUAAUAUUGACUUUUAUGUUUAUUGGCGAAGUGCAUUUCACCGAAUUAAGUUGUAUCUACCGUAUAAAUUGCAAAGUUUGUAACGAAACGCCUAUGGAUAGAGUUGUUAAAGAUUUGACUACUCAUCCUGAGAUUUGGCCUUUAUCUAAUGUGUGUUCCAAUUGCAUAAACUUAGGUUGUCUUUGGUGGCUGACUAACUAA